rnacentral:rRNA from 1 species
AGUGAACGCUGGCGGUAGGCCUAACACAUGCAAGUCGAACGGCAGCACAGUAAGAGCUUGCUCUUACGGGUGGCGAGUGGCGGACGGGUGAGGAAUACAUCGGAAUCUACUUUUUCGUGGGGGAUAACGUAGGGAAACUUACGCUAAUACCGCAUACGACCUACGGGUGAAAGCAGGGGAUCUUCGGACCUUGCGCGAUUGAAUGAGCCGAUGUCGGAUUAGCUAGUUGGCGGGGUAAAGGCCCACCAAGGCGACGAUCCGUAGCUGGUCUGAGAGGAUGAUCAGCCACACUGGAACGGAGACACGGUCCAGACUCCUACGGGAGGCAGCAGUGGGGAAUAUGGGACAAUGGGCGAAAGCCUGAUCCAGCCAUACCGCGUGGGUGAAGAAGGCCUUCGGGUUGUAAAGCCCUUUUGUUGGGAAAGAAAAGCAGCAGGUUAAUACCCCGCUGUUCUGACGGUACCCAAGGAAUAGGCACCGGCUAACUUCG